rnacentral:lncRNA from 1 species
UAUCUAUUUUCUAAAAUGAUUCCUUUAUAGGUAAAUUUUAUUGGGACAAGAUUUUGUGGAAGUUUUUUUCUAACUUAAUCAAACCCUUCAGCAGCUGUUGCGGUUCUUAUACUUCUAACUGAAUGAAGGUCAUCCAACUUACAUCAGAAAAAUGGGAUGACGAAAAGACAAAUUUGGUACCAAAAUAUUUGGAAUUUUCUCGAGAUAAAUGUUCUUGAGAACCAUGAAACUGUGGCUUGAUGGGUCCCCAAAUUUAAGGAGCUCUUGCGGUGUGCACCACCAAACCAAGGCAUAUGACUUGCUGAUAAUAAAAUUUAAUCAGUACUAAGCAUACGGUGUUCUGGCAGCACAAUGCUAUUGGUUAGUGCCAGAAAAGUUGCAUAUAGGAAUGAAAAUAAUAACUCCUUGUCACCCUAUGUGUACCACUAUCAGUCUGUUCAUAUUACCAUUAUUUUUCACAGUACAAGUCUAUCAACACCAAUUAAUUGUUUAGUACCAAAUCUGCCCUCCUAAACAAGAAGGACGACUCCAAGCUCGUAAUCUUGUAGUGGGUCAUGUAUUUGGAUUAUAAAUCUACGAAAAUAAUCAACCUGUAAAUAUGAACAAUGUUUUGGGUCGAUCUAUUUCUUAAGAAGACAAUAAAUAAAAUCUACCAACAUGUUAUGAGAAACCCGACGAUGCACUGCCUUCAAAAAAGAGUAAUCAAAUUAGCACAAAUGAGGAAGACGGAUAGCACAGACAACGACCACGACACGAUGCAUCACCUUGAAAUAUCUUGUUCAUUUAGAAGUGGACGUGCCAGAUCUACACUGGUCACUGGGUAUAGCUAAUUAGUGAAAUAAUCUUCAGAAAUCAUACCUGGAUCAAGGGACAACAGCCGCUUGUACUGCAGCAAGACAUCAAGUUCAACAUGGUCGUGCUUGGAUGCUCUCUUGUCUCCCUCAAAAUAUGUUUAUCGUGAAGGAUAACAUGGUUGAGAACGUCACAGGAUGUUGUGAUGAGCUCUGCUUGAUAUAUCUUAGUGAAGAUCCUGCGGGCAAAAGGAAAGCAAGUUAUCAUAUGAGGCCUGCAACUAAUAGAAUGAAAAAAUAAAUCU